rnacentral:lncRNA from 1 species
GUUACAGGGUUAGUCCUCCACUAUCUUGUGCCAAGGGACGUGUUACCAAGGACGUGUCUCCAAUCUUUAAGAUUACUCAUCACUUCUCGCCUAGGGAAGUGGUAUCUAUGACUAACUAGGUUCUAACGUACCUGUCCUUUACACUCGAUCCUAGGUGUUUUAUUAAAGACAUUACACUCGAGCCUAGGUGUUAUUUAAUGAUGACUGUCCUUUACACUCGAUCCUAGGUGUAUUAUUAAGGACAUUACACUCGAGCCUAGGUGUUAUUUAAUGAUGACUGUCCUUAAC